rnacentral:rRNA from 1 species
GACGAACGCUGGCGGCGUGCUUAACACAUGCAAGUCGAACGGUCAAGCUCCAGCUUUCUUUCUUUGAUCAUUGGCGAACGGGUGAGUAACACGUGAGCAACCUCCCCCUGACUCUCUAAUAUGCCCUGGAAACGGCGUCUCAUACUGGAUACGAUAUUUUUCCGCAUGUGCACUUUCUGUAAAGUUGUUCCGUUCGGGAUCGUCUCGCUGCCUAUCAGCUUGUUGGUGAAGUAAUUGCUGACCAAGGCUACGACGGAUAGCCGGCCUGAGAGGGCGAACGGCCACAAUGGGACUGAGAGACGGCCCAGACUCCUACGGGAGGCAGCAGUGGGGAAUAUUGCACAGUGGGCGAAAGCCUGAUGCAGCGACGCCGGGUGAGGGAUGACGGCCUUCGGGUUGUAAACAUAUGUCAGAAGAGAAGAAGAGAAAGUGACGGUACCUGAAGAAGAAGCAACGGCUAACUACGUG